rnacentral:rRNA from 1 species
GAUGAACGCUGGCGGCGUGCCUAACACAUGCAAGUCGAACGAAGCGCCUUGAGAGAUUCUUCGGAUGAUCUUAUGGUGACUGAGUGGCGGACGGGUGAGUAACGCGUGGGUAACCUGCCCUGUACAGGGGGACAACAGCUAGAAAUGGCUGCUAAUACCGCAUAAGCGCACAGGAAGACAUCUUCCAGUGUGAAAAACUCCGGUGGUACAGGAUGGGCCCGCGUCUGAUUAGCUUGUUGGCGGGGUAACAGCCCACCAAGGCGACGAUCAGUAGCCGGUCUGAGAGGAUGAACGGCCACAUUGGAACUGAGACACGGUCCAAACUCCUACGGGAGGCAGCAGUGGGGAAUAUUGCACAAUGGGGGGAACCCUGAUGCAGCAACGCCGCGUGAGUGAAGAAGUAUUUCGGUAUGUAAAGCUCUAUCAGCAGGGAAGAUAAUGACGGUACCUGACUAAGAAGCUCCGGCUAAAUACGUGCCAGCAGCCGCGGUAAUACGUAUGGAGCAAGCGUUAUCCGGAUUUACUGGGUGUAAAGGGUGCGUAGGCGGCGCGGCAAGUCAGAUGUGAAAGACCGGGGCUCAACCCCGGGGCUGCAUUUGAAACUGCGGUGCUCGAGUUCAGGAGAGGCAGGCGGAAUUCCUAGUGUAGCGGUGAAAUGCGUAGAUAUUAGGAGGAACACCAGUGGCGAAGGCGGCCUGCUGGACUGGUACUGACGCUGAGGCACGAAAGCGUGGGGAGCAAACAGGAUUAGAUACCCUGGUAGUCCACGCCGUAAACGAUGAGUGCUAGGUGUUGGGCAGCAAUGCUCAGUGCCGAAGUAAACACAAUAAGCACUCCGCCUGGGGAGUACGUACGCAAGUAUGAAACUCAAAGGAAUUGACGGGGACCCGCACAAGCAGCGGAGCAUGUGGUUUAAUUCGAAGCAACGCGAAGAACCUUACCAAGGCUUGACAUCCCCUUGACAGAUGCAGAGAUGUAUCCUCCUCUUCGGAGGCAAGGGAGACAGGUGGUGCAUGGUUGUCGUCAGCUCGUGUCGUGAGAUGUUGGGUUAAGUCCCGCAACGAGCGCAACCCUUAUCCUUAGUUGCCAGCAUUUAAGGUGGGCACUCUAAGGAGACUGCCGGUGAUAAACCGGAGGAAGGUGGGGAUGACGUCAAAUCAUCAUGCCCCUUAUGUCUUGGGCUACACACGUGCUACAAUGGUCGGUACAACGGGCAGCGAAGGAGCGAUCCGGAGCAAAUCCCAAUAAACCGAUCCCAGUUCGGAUUGCAGGCUGCAACUCGCCUGCAUGAAGUCGGAGUUGCUAGUAAUCGCGAAUCAGCACGUCGCGGUGAAUGCGUUCCCGGGUCUUGUACACACCGCCCGUCACACCAUGGAAGUUGGUAAUACCCGAAGUCGCUGAGCUAACCUUAAAGGAGGCAGGCGCCGAAGGUAGGAUCAAUGACUGGGGUG